AAAUCAUAUAAAAAAAUAAUAAAAUUAAUUCAACGCAGAUAAAACCGUAAAAUACAGUUUGUGAAAUUAUCUAAAAAAAAAGCUUCUGUGAAACUCAACUUGACCUUGCGAGUUCUUUUCCGUUCAGCUACCGCGAUUGGAACAUGUCUUAUUCACCUGAAAGAAGAUCAGAAGAUUGGCCGGAGGAUUCCAAAAAUGGGCCAUCAAAGGAUCAACCUAGCUAUGAUGGGCCUCCCGGCAUGGAGCCAGAAGGCGCAUUGGACACAAACUGGCAUCAAGUCGUGGAAAGCUUUGAUGACAUGAAUUUAAAAGAAGAAUUGCUGCGAGGAAUCUAUGCGUACGGUUUCGAGAAGCCGUCUGCGAUCCAGCAGCGCGCGAUCAUGCCGUGUAUCCAGGGUCGCGAUGUUAUAGCCCAAGCCCAGUCUGGUACUGGCAAAACUGCUACCUUCUCUAUUUCAAUUCUGCAACAAAUUGAUACUAGUAUUCGUGAAUGCCAAGCGCUCAUCCUUGCGCCCACCAGAGAGCUGGCUCAGCAAAUCCAAAAGGUGGUUAUUGCUCUUGGUGAUCACUUGAAUGCUAAAUGCCAUGCUUGCAUUGGUGGAACCAAUGUUCGUGAGGACAUUCGCCAGCUGGAGAGUGGAGUUCAUGUGGUGGUGGGAACACCAGGGCGAGUGUACGACAUGAUCACCCGUCGUGCCCUGCGUGCUAACACCAUUAAGCUGUUUGUCCUUGACGAGGCUGACGAGAUGUUGUCUAGAGGAUUCAAGGAUCAGAUCCAUGAUGUGUUCAAGAUGUUGUCUGCUGAUGUUCAGGUCAUCUUGCUUUCUGCUACCAUGCCUGAUGAUGUGCUUGAAGUAUCUCGGUGCUUCAUGAGAGACCCAGUCCGCAUUCUCGUGCAAAAGGAAGAGCUUACCCUGGAAGGUAUUAAACAAUUCUUUAUCUCUAUUGAGAUGGAAGAAUGGAAGCUCGAGACCCUGUGUGACUUGUAUGACACCCUCUCCAUCGCUCAGGCUGUCAUCUUCUGCAAUACCCGUCGCAAGGUGGACUGGCUGACUGAGUCGAUGCACGAGCGUGACUUCACCGUGUCCGCUAUGCAUGGUGACAUGGACCAGCGUGAGCGCGAGGUGAUCAUGCGGCAGUUCCGCACAGGCUCGUCGCGUGUGCUCAUCACCACUGACCUGCUGGCCCGCGGUAUCGACGUGCAGCAAGUGUCUUGCGUCAUCAACUAUGAUUUGCCCACCAAUCGCGAGAAUUAUAUCCAUCGGAUCGGAAGAGGUGGACGUUUCGGCCGUAAGGGAAUCGCCAUCAACUUUGUGACUGAAGCUGACAAGAGAGCACUGAAGGACAUUGAGGACUUCUACCAUACAACUAUCACUGAAAUGCCCAGCGAUGUGGCCAACCUCAUCUAAGGGGCCUGCGCUUUCCUGGUUUAUACUUUGUGUCCUGCGUUCUAUUGCGAUAUUUAUAAGGUAAGAUCUACCUACUGAGCCUGUUGAAACGCACUUUGGACACAACUAUGUGGAAAUAAUAAAUCAAAAUUUCCUCAA
rnacentral:misc_RNA from 1 species